GGCUCAGGAUGAACGCUAGCUACAGGCUUAACACAUGCAAGUCGAGGGGCAGCAUGAACAUAGCUUGCUAUGUUUGAUGGCGACCGGCGCACGGGUGCGUAACACGUAUCCAAUCUGCCCGUCACUCGGGGAUAGCCUUCUGAAAGGAAGAUUAAUACCCGAUGGCAUGCAUUUCCGGCAUCGGAGAUGCAUUAAAGAUUUUAUCGGUGACGGAUGAGGAUGCGUACGAUUAGCUUGUUGGCGGGGUAACGGCCCACCAAGUCGACGAUCAGUAGCCGGACUGAGAGGUUGAACGGCCACAUUGGGACUGAGACACGGCCCAGACUCCUACGGGAGGCAGCAGUGAGGAAUAUUGGGCAAUGGGCGCAAGCCUGACCCAGCAAUGCCGCGUGAAGGAAGACGGUUUUCGGAUUGUAAACUUCUUUUAAGAGGGACGAUAAUGACGGUACCUCUUGAAUAAGCCACGGCUAACUACGUG
rnacentral:rRNA from 1 species